rnacentral:ncRNA from 1 species
CACGUUGGUGUCUGCCAUACGACAGGCUAAGAGGGAAUGCGACGGGGCCUUAUUUGCCCCGGAAACAGCCGCCCCCGCGACCGUGACCGGAGAGGUCGCCCGAUGCCACUGGCCCGAUCAGGCCGGGAAGGUGGGCGACCGCAGGGCCAAUGGCCCCGACUCCGCAAGCCGGGAAACCUGCCAGCGAAUA